rnacentral:rRNA from 1 species
AUUGAACGCUGGCGGCAGGCCUAACACAUGCAAGUCGAACGAGUGGCGGACGGGUGAGUAAUGUCUGGGAAACUGCCUGACGGAGCCGGCUAACUACUGGAAAACGUAGCUACUACCGCUUACCAUCGGUUGUGCCCACCUGGGAUUAGCUAGGAGGUGGGGUAAAGGCUCACCUAGGCGACGAUCCCCAGCUGGUCUGAGAGGAGGACCGGCCACACUGGAACUGAGACACGGUCCAGACUCCUACGGGAGGCAGCAGUAGGGAAUAUUGCACAAUGGGCGCAAGCCUGAUGCAGCCAUGCCGCGUGUAUGAAGAAGGCCUUCGGAUUGUAAAGUACUGUCAUCGGGGAGGCGUUACCCACAGAGGAAGCACCGGCUAACUCCGUGCCAGCAGCCGCGGUAAUAC